AUGAACGCUGGCGGCAUGCCUAAUACAUGCAAGUCGAACGAGAUGAGAAGAAGCUUGCUUCUUUGAAUCUAGUGGCGAACGGGUGAGUAACACGUAGGUAACCUGCCCAUGUGCCCGGGAUAACUUCUGGAAACGGAUGCUAAAACCGGAUAGGUAGCAGACAAGCAUUUGACUGCUAUUAAAGUGGCCUUGGCCAUGAACAUGGAUGGACCUGCGGUGCAUUAGCUAGUUGGUGAGGUAACGGCCCACCAAGGCGACGAUGCAUAGCCGGCCUGAGAGGGCGGACGGCCACAUUGGGACUGAGACACGGCCCAAACUCCUACGGGAGGCAGCAGUAGGGAAUUUUCGUCAAUGGGGGAAACCCUGAACGAGCAAUGCCGCGUGAGUGAGGAAGGUCUUCGGAUCGUAAAGCUCUGUUGUAAGAGAAAAACGGCACUCAUAGGGAAUGAUGAGUGAGUGAUGGUAUCUUACCAGAAAGUCACGGCUAACUACGUGCCAGCAGCCGCGGUAAUACGUAGGUGGCGAGCGUUAUCCGGAAUGAUUGGGCGUAAAGGGUGCGUAGGUGGCAGAUCAAGUCUGGAGUAAAAGGUAUGGGCUCAACCCGUACUGGCUCUGGAAACUGAUCAGCUAGAGAACAGAAGAGGACGGCGGAACUCCAUGUGUAGCGGUAAAAUGCGUAGAUAUAUGGAAGAACACCGGUGGCGAAGGCGGCCGUCUGGUCUGGAUUCUGACACUGAAGCAUGAAAGCGUGGGGAGCAAAUAGGAUUAGAUACCCUAGUAGUCCACGCCGUAAACGAUGAGAACUAGGUGUUGGGGGAAUAACUCAGUGCCGCAGUUAACGCAGUAAGUUCUCCGCCUGGGGAGUAUGCACGCAAGUGUGAAACUCAAAGGAAUUGACGGAAG
rnacentral:rRNA from 1 species